rnacentral:rRNA from 1 species
UCGAGGAUCUUCGGCAAUGGGGGCAACCCUGACCGAGCGAUGCCGCGUGUGCGACGAAGGCCUUCGGGUUGUAAAGCACUGUCGGGGGGGAGAAAGGCCCGCGAGGGCGUGAUCUAUCCCCGGAGGAAGCUCGGGCUAAGUUCGUGCCAGCAGCCGCGGUAAGACGAACCGAGCGAACGUUGUUCGGAAUCACUGGGCUUAAAGGGCGCGUAGGCGGGCGGCCGCGUCCGGGGUGAAAUCCUCCCGCUUCACGGGAGAACGGCCUCGGAUACGGGCGGCCUCGAGGGGGGUAGGGGCGUGCGGAACUGUGGGUGGAGCGGUGAAAUGCGUUGAGAUCCACAGGAACUCCGGUGGCGAAGGCGGCACGCUGGACCCCUCCUGACGCUGAGGCGCGAAAGCCAGGGGAGCGAACGG